AGUAGUAGUAAUAGUACUAGUAGCAGUAGUGGAAUUGCUGCUGCUACUGCUGUUAGUCCAGUUACUGUUAUUGUCAUCAUUUGUAUUAUAAAAUAAACUUUUGAGACAUCCAAAUUACAUAACUAACAUUGUACUUGGAGUCCAUUGAUCUAAAACUUAUUUAGCUACCCCUGCUAACCUUCAGCAAGCAGUUCACUGAACUUUAAUGGGCCUUGGGUGCUCUGUCAGUAGAAUAGUGUUAUAACAUCUUUCCUGUCAGGUAAUCUCUUGAUCUGUAAAACAUUACUUACUAGAAAUCUUACAGUUCCAGAAAUUAUGGUCUAACUUUGAACCGUGAAAGAAAGAGAACUGAUGAUGCUCAGCCUUCCUAUCUCUCCAUGAGGUCCAUUUUCUUUCUUUCAGAAAAAUAGUUUCUUAUGUGUGUGGAGUUGACAACACAGGUGAAGCAUUUAAUGCUUGUUAGACUAUAAAAGGCUUAUUCUCAUUCUGAUCUUCAUACUUUAAAUUUAUUGCUAAAUUUAAUGUGAAAAUAAAAUUAGGGACAAGCUAAAUUGUUUUCUUUUAAGCUGUGUGCAUAUGGUGAUUAGUGUGCCCUAUUUUAUAUUUUCCUAACACCUUAUGUGUGCCUUUAAAUGGUGCUUACUAUCGUGCUUCAAUUAUUUGUAUGUCUAGCUUCCUACAGGAUCGAGCUACUUUGGCAGAUCUUUAUAUUCAUAGUGACUAGCAAGUACAUGAAAACUAACAGCUUUUUAAAAAUUGCUGACUUAUAUGAAUCCUAGAUUAGCCUAUAAUUAAUUAGGUUUGUCUUAACUGUUGAUUUGAGGCCAUGGUCAUUCUGACCCUAAAUUAAUGAUGCACUUGAUUCCCUGGUCCUAUCAGCUUCUACUUAAGAUGUAAUGCUAGUUUUGAAUAUUAAUAUUGUCCAAAUGAACUUAAAGCGACUUAAAAUUUGUGAAAGUUACUAACUUUAAAAGGAAUUUUUUCCUGUUUGAUAAAAUAGAAAAGAAUGAUUGCAUUACUUUAUGAAUUUUGUCAAUUUAAGACAUACGGGAAGGGUAAAACUGGAGGUAAAAAAACAAUAGAAGAAACAAUGCAAAUGUUCCAUUUUUGGGGUGAGGCUGUUCUAUACUCCUUCUUUACCUGAAAGAGGUGGGAGAAAAUGUCGUAGGAAAACAGAAUGUGAUUAUAUAACAGGAAAGAAUGAAAAUAAAGCUAAGCUAUUCCCAAAGGAUGUUAAGCCUUGAUUUAGUAGUUGUCAGUUGGAGGUUUUCUUUUUUUUUCAUCAAGCUAGAAUUAUGUAUUCUUGCCAAUUCUGGGCCCACAGAUAUUUUUUAUAUAUGGUGUUGAUAAUUUUGACAUCAAUAGAUAACAGUCCACUCUGCCUUAUGUAGCUUUUCCUCAAGGAUUGGAUAGCACGUUGCCAUUAAGCAUCUAUAUCACAGUAUGUAAAUAAUGAUAGGUAAUCUAUACUUAGUGACUCUCCACGUCUCCCGUAGUAUAUUUACAGAGUGAUUAAAUUCUCUAUCUCUAAAUCACUCACUGGAUCUUGAGUUUGUUGAGAAUCCCCACAGUACCUCAAAACUCAAAACCCAAACCUGAACUCAUCUUUUUUCCCCUCCUCCCCAUCCAUGACUUGCCCACAAAGAUCCCUCCCUUGGUACAUGACACUACCAUCCAUUGGAUUGCUCAAAUCAGUAUUACUCCUGGCUCCAUCCUCGUGUCACCCAUAUCCAUCCAGUCAUCAAGUUUUACGAAUUUACCUUGUACAUAUAUCUCAAAUCUAUUCACUUCUUCCCUUUUUAUUACCAUAGUUCAAGCCAUGUUUAUCUCUUCUCAGUUGUAUUACUGUCAUAGCCUCCUAAACUGGUCUCCCACCAUCAGUGCCAUCCAUUUCUUACUGGUUUUUUUUUUUUUUAAAGAUUUAUUUAUUUAUUUGAGAGAGAGAAUGAGAGACAGAGAGCACAUGAGAGGGGGGAGGGUCAGAGGCAGAAGCAGACUCCCUGCCGAGCAGGGAGCCUGAUGCGGGACUCGAUCCAGGGACUCCAGGAUCAUGACCUGAGCCGAAGGCAGUCGCUUAACCAACUGAGCCACCCAGGCACCCCCAUUUCUUACUGCAGUCGCUUAACCAACUGAGCCACCCAGGCACCCCCAUUUCUUACUGUUUUUACACUGUUCAGGUAAUUUUCCUAAAACAACUGUCGCUCUUCUGCUUAAAGACAUUCAGUGGCUGUCCUUGGCUUUCAAAGUAAAAUCUCAAUUCUUUGAAGUGUUUUUGGCACCCUUCAUGAUCUGGCCCCUGCUACAAGAUACAGCCAUAUGGAGUGACUUGUAGUUCCUUGAGACCUGUACUGGAGGUGGGCACCAUUAGGUCUUGACACACACGAACUCCCAGUUUUCAUUCAUCUCAGCUUGGACUUUCUCCAAAAAAUCUUCACUAAUACCCCAACAUCAUCUAAUAUUGGUUAGAUAUUCUUGUGUAUUUCCAUAGUACUUUCUGCUUAUUCCUAUUACAGCAUGUGACAUACUGUAUUUUUAUUGCCUGUUUAGUUGUCUGUAUCUCUCCUAAAUUCCUGGACGGCAAAUACAAUAUUCUGUUUGGUCGCUCCAUUUCCCCCCCCACCCCCUUUUUACAGUUGUCAACAACUUUGGAGCUCCUUUCUUCAGGUCCAUUUCCUUCCUUCCUUCUUCCUUCUUUCCUUCCUCCCCUCACUUUCUUUCAAUUAAAAUUGUAUUUAUUUUUCGACUUAUUUAGACAUUAAAAACAAAAAACAGUUUAUCCAUUUCUCCUACCACCCAUCUGCCCCCUGCUGUAGCAACUAUCAAUCUGUUCUCUGUAUUUAUGAGUGGUUUUCAGGAGUUUUUUUGUUUUUUAUAAGCUUUGGAGUUUUUUGUUUUUGUUUUUUUAGAUUCCACAUGUAAGAGAAAUCAUACAGUGGUUGUCAUUCUUCAUCUAACUUACUUCACUUAGCAUUAAUGCCCUCAAGAUUUACCCAUGUAACCACAAAUGGCAAGAUUCCUUUCUUUUUUAUGACUGAAUAAUAUUCCAUUGUGUGUAUAUACCACAAUUUCUUUAUCCACUCAUCAGUCAGUGGACACAGGUUGUUUCCGUAUAUUGGCUGUUGUAAAUAAUGCUGCAAUGAACAUUGGGCGGGGGAGAUAUGUAUAUCUUCUUGUGUUAGUGUUUCUGUUUUCUUCAGAUAAUAGCCAGAAGUGGAAUUGUUGGAUCAUAUAGUAGUUCUGCUUUUAGUUUUUUAAGGAACCUCCAUACUCUUUUGUGUAGUGGCUGUACCAGUUUACAUUCCCACCAGAAAUGCACAAGGGGUCCCUUUUCUCUACGUCCUCACCAACACUUGUUAUUUCUAGUUUUUUUGAUAAUAGCCAUUCUAACAGGUAUGAGUGAUACCUCAUUGUGGGGUUUUUUUUAUUUAAGAUUUCUUUAUUUUAGAGCAAGCAAGCAGGGGAGGGGGAGAGGUUGAGGGAGAGAAUCUCAAGCACAUUUUCUGCUGAGUGCAGAGUACAACAGGGGGCUCGAUCGCAUGACCCUGAGAUCAUGACUUGAGUCGAAAUCAAGAGUCCCGAUGCUUAACUGAGCCACCCAGGUGCCCCCCUCAUGUGGUUUUGAUUUGCAUCCCCUAAUGAUUAAUGAUGUUAAACAUCUUUUCAUAUACCUGUUGGCCUUAGUAUGUGUUUGGGAAAAUGUCUAUUUAAAUCUUCUGCCCAAUUUUGAACUGGAUUGUUUGGGUUUCGUUUUUGUUUUGCUGUUGAGUUGUAGGCGUUCUUUAUACAUUUUGUAUAUUAGCCUUUUAUCAGAUACAUAAUUUGCAAAUACUUUCUUCCAUUCAAUAGGUUGCCUUCUCAUUUUGUUGAUAGUUCCCUUUGCUGUGUAGAAGCUUUUUAGUUUGAGGUAGUCCCACUUGCUUAUUUUUGCUUUUGUUGUUUUUGGUUUUGGUGUCAGAUUAAAAAAAAAAUCAUUGCCAAGACCUGUGUCAAGGAGUUUACUACCUAUGUUUUCUUCUAGGAGUUUUAAUGGUUUCAAGUUUUUAAUCCAUUUUGAGUUUAUUUUUGUGCAUAGUGUAAGAUAAUGGUCCAGUUUCAUUCUUUUGCAUAUAGGCUGUCUAGUUUUUCCAGCAUCAUUUAUUGAAGACACUGUCCUUUCCCCAUUUUAUAUUCUUGGCUCCUUUGUCAUAAAUUAAUUGGCCUUAUAGGUGUGGGUUUAUUUCUGGGCCUUCUGCUGAUUUUUGUGUCUUUUUACUCCCAAUACAAUACUGUUUUAAUUACUCUAGCUUUGUAAUAAAGUUUGAAAUCAGGGAGCGUGAUGCCUUCAGCUUUGUUCCCCUCAAGAAUCAGGCAGGGGCUUUUAUGUUUCCAUAUAAAUUUUAGAGUUGUUUGUUCUAUUUCCAUGAAAAAUGCCAUUGAGUUUAUGAGAGGGAUUGCAUUGAAUUUAUAUAUUGCUUUGGGUAGUAUGGACACUUUAACAAUAUUAAUUUUUCCAAUCCACGAGCACAGAAUAUCUUUCUUAUUUAUUUGUGUCUUCACUUUUUUUCAUUAAUGUCUUACGGCUUUCAGUAUAUAGGUCUUUUACCUCCUUGGUUAAAUUUAUUCCUCGGUAUUUUAUACUUUUUGAUGCUUUUGUAAAUUGGACUGUUGUGUUUUUUUUAAUUCUUUUUUAAUUCUUUUGUAUUUAUUUUAGAGAGAGUAUGAGCAGGAGGGGCAGAGGGAGGGAGAGUCUCAAGCAGGCCCACGCUGAGCACGGAGUCUUACACAGCACUCGAUCCCACAACCCCAAGAUGUUUCUUCUUUUUUCUUUUUUUUAUCUUGUAAUAGUUCAUUCUUCAUGUAUGCAGCAGCUUUUUAUGUAUUGAUUUUGUAUCCCGCAACUUUACUGAAUUUAUUCUAACAGUUUUUUAUGGCUUUAUGGUCUUCUAUAUAUAACAUAAUGUCAUCUGUAAAUAGUGACAGCUUUACUUCUUCCUUUCCAAUUUGGAUGCCUUUAUUUGUCCUGCCUAAUUGCUCUGGCUAGGAUUUCCAAUACUGUGUUGAAUAAAAGUGGCAAGAGUGAGCUAUUGGUCUUCUUCCUGGUUUUAGAGGAAGAGCUUUUAGCUUUUCACCCUUGAGUAUGUUAGCUGUGGGCUUGUCAUAUAUGGCCUUUACUGUGUUGAAGUAUGUUCCCUCUAUACCCACACUGUUGAGAGUUUUUAUUGUAAAUGGAUGUUGAAUUUUGUCAGAUGCUCUUGCUGCAUCUGUUGAGACAGUCAUCUGAUUUUUAUUCUUUGUUAAUAUGUUAUAUCUCAUUGACUAAUGUGCAGCUGUUGAGCCAUCUUGCAUCCCUGGAAUAAAUCCCACUUGAUCGUGGUGUAUGAUCCUUUUAAUGUAUUGUUGAAUUCAGUUUGCUGAUCUUCUGUUGAGGAUUUUUACAUUUAGGCCUAUAAUUUUCUUGUGGCCCUUACCUGGUUUUGCUAUCGGGGUAAUGUAAAAUGAGUUUGGAAGAGUUUUCUCCUCUUCUUUUUUGAAAGAGCUUGAGAAGGACUCAUAUUAAUUCUUCUUUGAAUGGUUGGUAGAACAUAACAAUAAGAACCCAUCAUAAAAGGAAGAAGACCUAUCAGUAUGCUGCCUUAUAAGAGACUCGUUUUCCAAAAUAGAUCAUAUGUCAGACCACAAAACAAGUCUUAAUAAAUUUAAGAGGAUUCAAAUCAUAUCAGGCAUCUUUUCCAACCACAGUAGUGUGAAACUAGAAAAUUAAUUACACAAAAAGACUGGCGAAUUCAUGAAUUUGUGGAUAUUAAACAGUAUGCUGCUGAACAACCAGUGGAUCAAAGGAGAAAUAAAAAAAUACCUUAAAACAAAUGAAAAUGGAAAUAUGACAAAUUUGUGGGAUGCAGCAAGAGCUGUUCAAAGAGGGAAUUUUGUGGCAAUAAAUGCCUACCUCAAGAAACGAGAAGUCCAGGGGCACCUGGGUGGUUCAGUCGUUAAGCAUCUGCCUUCAGCUCAGGUCAUGAUCCCAGGGUCCUGGGAUCGAGCCCCCGCAUCGGGCUCCCUGCUCAGCGGGAAGCCUGCUUCUCCCUCUUCCACUCCCCCUGCUUGUGUCCCUCUCUUGCUGUCUCUCUCUCUGUCAAAAAAUAAAUAAAAUCUUCAAAAAAAAAAAAAAAAGUCUAAAACAACUUUAUACCUCAAGGAACUGAAAAAACAGCAGAUGAAGCCCAAAGUUAGUACAAGGAAGGAAAUAACAAAGAUUAGAGUAGAAAUUAAUAAAAUAGAGACUAAAAAGACAAUAGAAAAGAUUAAGGAAACUAAGAACUGGUUCUUUGAAAAGAUAAAAUUGACAGAUUUUUAGCUAGACUCACAAGACAAAAGGAGAGAGGGCUCAAAAUCAGAAAUGAAAGAGGAAAUACUACAACUGAUAGCAUAGAAAUACAAAGGAUUAGAAGAGAUUUUCUUGUUAUAAGGAUUGGAAGAGAUUAGAAUACAGUUACUUGCCAAUAAAUUGGACAACCCUAGAAGAAAUGGAUAAAUUCCUAGAAAUAUACAACCUACCAAGACUGAAUCAUGAUGAAGGAGAAAAUCUGAACAGAUGAAUUACUAGUAAGGAGGUUGAAUCAGUAAUCAAAAAACUCCCAACAAGGGCCUUCACUCACUUGCUUCUCGGUGCCUGCUCCCGGUGGCCCUGAAGGCAUGUGGGCCAGAGGCGGCCCUAAAGAGUCGGAGGCGGAGGGGAAGCAGGUGUGCAAGUCUAAGUGUCGUGGAGGCGCACUCUUAGGCGAGAAUUGGGAGGAGGAGGAGACUGCAAGGAUAGGCCCAGGAGCAAUGGCGUCCAAAGAGGAACAAGCAGUAAAAAAAUCUCAACAUGGAGAAUGCCAAACAGGAAAAUGAAAAAAAAGGAUGAAAAGGACCAAGUUGCUAAUAAAGGAGAACCCUUGGCCCCCCUCCCUUUGGAAGCUGGUGAAUAUUGUGUGCCUAGAGUAAAUCAUAGGUGGUUCCGUGUUAGGCAGCCCAUCCUGCAGUAUAGGUGGGACAUGAUUCAGAGAAUAAUAAAUUUAUAUUGGAGAACCACAGGCAAGGAUGAGAGAGGAGAAUAUGGAAAGGAUUGGGGAGGAGAUGGAAAAGCUGAGGGAAAAGCAAUUCAAUCAUAGUCUGUGGGCAGUUAGCACUGACCCUCCUCACCAUGACCAUCAUGAUGAGUUUUGCCUUAUGCCUUGAAUCUUGAUGUUUUCCCUGAACCUGCUUCCUGAACUUAAUGUUCUCAAUGUAACCUUUGUUGUAAACCUUUUGGUGUUACAUGUCUCUUGUGGGUCUCCUAUGACCAGCUUCUAAUUGAAUGUUGUAUUUUGACCCAGAAUGUAAGAUUCUGUCAGCAGGGGAGUUUUACCCUAUUGCAUGGCAAGGUGUUCAUUAUAUAUUGUGAAGUUAGUAAAGCAGUUUAAAAGAAAAAAAAAGAAAAAAAACUCCCAACAAAAGUUCAGAAUCAGACUGUUCCACUGGUGAAUUCUUCUAAACAUUCAAAGAAUUAAUGGUUGCUCUGUUUCACCAGUAAUUCACGUCAUGCAUGGCACAUUCAUUUAUUUAGUCUUCAUUUAUUCAGCAAAUAUUUGUUGAACAUACUUUAUGUCAGGCAGUUUAUUUAAUUUUUUUAAAGAUUUAUUUUUUAUUUGAGAGCGUGGGAGGGGGGAGGCUGCAGAGGGAAAGAAUCUCAAGCAGACUCCCCACUGAGAGCACAGAGCCUGAAGUGGGGCUCCGCUCUGCAGGAUUUCACUACCCUGACAUCAUGACUUGAGCCGAAAUCAAGAGUUGGACAUUUAACCUACUGAGCCACCCAGGCGCUCCUGUCAGUCCAUUUAGAAUGAAGUGGUCUAAAUUUUUUCUUUUGAAAUGAAGUCCUGUUUGAGUUUUCAGUAAGUUUUUAUAGUAUCAAAGAAGUGCUUCUAAAAAUUAUUAUUCAGUGGUCAACAUAUAAAUAUAUUUUCUUUGACCAGUCUUAGAUAACCCCUAUAGUUGAUGUUGUGGUGGAAGUUUAGCAGAAGUGUAUGUAUGUGUAUAAAUAAUAACUGAAUACAUUAAUGGAAGUAUAUAAUGGUAUCUUGAAUAAUUAUAUUUUUUAAAGUUUGUAAGUAUAUAAUUAGAAACACCUGAUUAUAGCAAGUCAUGCUUUUAAAAAGCAGUGUUUUAUUAUGACUUUAUUUCUGGACUCCUUACCUUAGAAUAUUUAAGAAAAAAAUUUAAAAUACUUAAGUUUUAAGUAAAAUAUUUAAGUUAAAAAACAUUUAAAAUGAAUUUUAUUUUCAUUUCAGUUUAUUCAUUGGAUUUUUUUAGUAGUUGGAAAAGCUGUGGUAGUUCCCAACUGUGUUAGAAACAGUUGUCAAGUGUAGUUCUUUACAGCGUGAGACUGGGAGCUGUUUCUAAACACACAGUUACUAGCACAGAUUUGCUUAAGUUUCCAAUCUGAUCUGUGGCUAUGGGUAAGUAAUGUGGAAUAUAUAUAAUAUUUGUGGGUGAAAAAAAUUACUGUAAAUUAAAUUCCAUAAACUCUAACUUCAGGUUACUGUAUAACCUAAAGGACUUUGAACCUCAGCCAAGCAGUAGUAUAGUUUUUUGUAAGCCUUUAAAAUAGUUAAGUGUAUAAAAAUUAAGAUGUUCUUCUAGCUUCAGGAUAUAUAGACUUAAGUCUCUUCUUUUGUUGAAAUGAAUCCUAGUACAAAUUUUCAGUCAUAUUUAAUACCAAGGAUUUCAAAGAUUAUUUUUUAGUUAAAGAAGUGUGCUUAUUUUCCAGACAGCUUUACUUAAACCUUGGCUCCUAUUAAUAGUGAAGACUCUGGUAUAUUUGUAUAGGGUUUACAGUAAAAUCUAAAAAUUACAAAAUGAAAAUGUGUGUGUGUGUGUAUAACAUCCUUUUAAAUUGUAUGGUACUAUUUAUCUUUUAGAGCACUGAAAAGGGAUUUUUGUUGUUGUUGUUUUUAAGAUUUUACUUUUGAGUAACUCUGUACCCAACGUGGGGCUCAAACUCACAACCCUGAGAUUAAGAGUUAUGUAAGAUCUACCGACUGAGCCAGCCAGCGGCCAUAGAGCACGGAUAAGGUCUUAAAAAAAUGUGUGUGUGUGUGUGUCACUGAUUUUUUAAAAUAUAGCUACUAGAAUAUUAAAAAUUAAACUAAGUAUUACAUAUGUAGGGGUGCCUGGCUGGCUCAGUUGGAAGAUCAUGUAACUCUUUUUUCUUUCAUAUGUGUGUGUGUGUGUGUGUGUGUGUGUGUGUGUUUCAAAGAGUACUUAUUUUUUUAUUUUUUUUUAUUUGUCAGAGAGUAGAGCGAGCGAGCACAAGCAGAGUUAGGGGCAGAGGGAGAAGCAGGCUCCCUGCUCAGCAAGGAGCCCAAUGCGGGACUCAUUCCCGGACCCUGAGAUCAUGACCUGAGCCAAAGGCAGACACUUAACUGACUGAGCCACCCAGGCAUCCUGAAAAGCAUGUGACACUUGAUCUCAGGGUUAUGAGUUCCAGCCCUACAUUGGGUGUAGAGAUCACUAAAAUAAUAAAUAACUUUUAAAAAUUACAUAUAUGGAUCACAUUCUGUUUCUACUUAGACAUCGCUGGCUAUUUCCUAACUGAAAAUGAUGUUUUCUGUAAGUUAUGGUUGAAAUUGAGCAUUUUUGGCAUUGAGAAUUAUUUUUUUUUAUUAGUCUUAGAUUACAGCUUGCUAAAUAUAGGCGUUCUAAUAUUAGAUGUAAAGUGAAACUAUAAAGUUAAAAAAAAUUUAACAAAAUGUUAUUUUGAGGGCUUGCUUUUAGACUGUUGUUAGAACAAACCAAUAACUAACAUUUUAUGAUUUCUUGAUUCUUGGAUUGGAGCUAGUUUUAGGCAGUUACAUUAACUAUUCAUUUUAUUCAUUGUCUCGUUUAUUUAUUUAACAAAUUUUUUUUUCGUUUGCUUCAUAUGUGCCAAAUCUAUCUUGGGGAAUGCUUCUCCAUAAUUUUAGGAGGGAACAAAAAAUAAUGGCUGUGCAUGUUAAAUAAGUUCAUGGAGAUGGAGGUAAAAAGAAAUGAAGCAGUUCCUGUCCAGGUUUUUGUUUUAUGUAAAGUAGUAUGUAAGAUCAUCAUAGUUCACCCACUAGUGAUGGUUCUAGGAAAAAUUCCUUGAAUUGAAUAAAACUAAAGUGUUCUCCAUGGAUGUGAAUCAACAUUUAUUGAGUACUUACUGGACAACAAAGUAGAAACUGAGGAAAUAUAUAAACAAGAGGCCUUGGGGCACCCGAGUGGCUUAGUCGGUUAAGCAUUCAACUCUUGAUUUCGGCUCAGGUCAUGAUAUCAGGGUCCUGGGAUUGAGCCCUGUGUAGAGCCCCAUGCAGGACUCCGUGUUCAGCUUGAGAUUCUCUCCAUCUCCCUCUGCCCCUCCUUUGCUCUCUCUCUCUCUCAAAUAAAUAAAUCUUAAAAAAAAAAAAAAAAAAAAAAAGAUGCCUUGCCCUCAGAGCUUAUAUUUUUGUUAGGAAAAUAUGGCAUAAAACAUAAAAGUAAAUAACAACAUAAGGCAGCUAUGACAUAUAUGGUCCUUAUCAGUACUGCAGAUUCUUAUACAAUUCUACAGGAAAUCCAAAAAUGAAGAGAACACUAAUGACUAGAGUGUUGUUGUUUUUUAAAUCCUUCUUCUUUGCUUAUUAUAAUAGUGGCCAAGUGAUCUUUUCAGAAUGACCCCUUUUUAAAUACCUUCUAGCACUGUAACUUAUUCUCAGAACAGUCAGUGGUAACUUAUUAUGAGAACUAUGUAGAAAUUUAGCACAGAUUACCUCAGCACAAGUAAGAAUUUAAUACAUUUCUUCUAGAACUGAGCUUUGAGUGCUUUAGAACAGGACAGUGUUUACAAAUGGGAAGUUGAGGUUACGAUGGCAUUACACAAUUCAAAUUAUGUAGCUUCAUGUAUUUGUUUGGUGUGAACUUCAGGUUGCAGCUGAGUUAACUAACACGUUUUCUUUCCAUUAGUACCUCUGAAUUCCUUACUUUUCAGUCUUUAAUAUUUGUUGUGUUGAUGGUGAGAAGGAAAGGAUUCUGGAUUGGGUGGGUGAGGUGUAGGUGUCUGUAAUAAUAAGAUCUAUAGAUUUUAAAUAGGAAUGGGAGUGGGGUGAGAGAGAGGGUUGUAUAGGAUGAAAAGUUUUGAGAAUGUACUUCUGAGUGUUAAAGAAACUGGUUACCAGCAUUAUAAACCAAGCUGCUAGAGAUAUCAUCCCCACAUGCAUACACACUACAAAUAUACAGAAAUGUAGCACAAAACAAGAGCAAAACUGUAAGUGCAUAGCUAAGCUCUAAAGAAGGAAAGAAGAGAAGGAAACCAGAAAUGAGAGAAGUCAAAUCAAAGCAGUAAGUGGGAGUUGGUGCUGCUGCAUAAAAUAGCACAGGGACCUUUUGGUCCUGGGAUGUAUCUCCUAAGGGUUCUGGGGUGGAAUUUGGUGUGUAUAUGGGGAUGGGAGAUAUGUGGCCUUGGACCUUUUCAAAAUAGAGCUAGCACUAAGACCCAGGCCUGUGGCCUAGAACCCACAGCUUCCGAAAUUGUGCAGAAAUUUUAAAUGACCAGUGAUAAUCUAAAAAAGAAUAUAAAGGAACUCCUGGGUGGCUCAGUUGGUUAAGUGGCUGCCUUCGGCUCAGGUCAUGAUCCUAGGGUCCUGGGAUCGAGUCCCACAUCAGGCUCCUUGCUCAAGGUGGAGCCUGCUUCUCCUCUGCUUGCCUCUCCCCCUGCUUGUGUUCUCUGUCUCUCUCUCUGACAAACAAAUAAAAUCUUUAAAAUAUAUAUAUAAAAGAAUAUAAAGUAAGCGUGUGUAAAAUUUUAAAAGGAUAAAAAAAAGGGAGAUGAAGCAUGGUGAUGUAAUAGGCCUAUUUAAAAAAGAAACAGUGGGGCGCCUGGGUGGCUCAGUCGUUAGGCAUCUGCCUUCGGCUCAGGUCAUGAUCCCAGGGUCCUGGGAUUGAGCCCCACAUCGGGCUCCCUGCUCAGCCGGAAGCCUGCUUCUCCCUCUCCCAAACCCCCUGCUUGUGUUCCCUCUCUCUCUGUCUCUCUCUCUGUCAAAUAAAUAAACAAAAAUCUUUAAAAAAAUAAAAUAAACAGUAAGACUUGAAAAAGAAAAACAAAUCAACUUUCAGAAAUUAAAAAUUAAAUAAUGGAGGGGCACCUGGCUGGCUCAGUUGGUGGAGCAUGCGACUCUUGAUCCAGGGUUCUAGGUUCAAGCCCCAUGUUGGGUGUAGGGAUUACUUAGGAGUAAAAUAUUUUCAAAUUUUUCUUUAUUUUUUAAAAGAUUUUAUUUAUUUGUCAGAGCGAGAGCACAAGGAGGGGGAGUGGCUGGCAGAGGGAGAAGCAGGCUCUCCACUGAGCAAGGAGCCUGAUGCAGGACUCGAUCCCAGGACCUUGGGAUCAUGACCUGAGCCAAAGGCAGACACUUAACCAACUGAGCCACCCAGCCGUCCCUAAGACUUUUUAAAAAGGAAAAUAAAUCUAGCAACACAUGAUUAAGAACUAAAUCUAGAAUGUAGUCCAAAAGUAAAAAGUUGAAAAUACAAGGUUGAUGGGGCGCCUGGAUGGCUCAGUUGGUUAAGCGACUGCCUUCGGCUCAGGUCAUGAUCCUGGAGUCCUGGGAUCGAGUCCCGCAUCGGGCUCCCUACUCGGCAGGGAGUCUGCUUCUCCCUCUGACCCUCCUCCCUCUCAUGCUCUCUGUCUCUCAUUCUCUCUCUCUCAAAUAAAUAAAUAAAAUCUUUAAAAAAAAAAAAAGAAAAAAGAAAA